rnacentral:rRNA from 1 species
UACGUAGGGUGCGAGCGUUAAUCGGAAUUACUGGGCGUAAAGCGUGCGCAGGCGGUCUGUUAAGACCGAUGUGAAAUCCCCGGGCUUAACCUGGGAACUGCGCUUGUUACUGGCAAGCUGGAGUGUGGCAGAGGGGGGUGGAAUUCCGACGUGUAGCAGUGAAAUGCGUAGAGAUGUGGAGGAACACCGAUGGCGAAGGCAGCCCCCUGGGCUAACACUGACGCUCAUGCACGAAAGCGUGGGGAGCAAACAGG